rnacentral:rRNA from 1 species
AGCGAACGCUGGCGGCAGGCCUAAUACAUGCAAGUCGAGCGGUCACUUCGGUGGCAGCGGCGGACGGGUGAGUAACGCGUGGGAACGUGCCCUUUGGUUCGGAACAACACAGGGAAACUUGUGCUAAUACCGGAUGAGCCCUUCGGGGGAAAGAUUUAUCGCCAUUGGAGCGGCCCGCGUUGGAUUAGCUAGUUGGUGGGGUAAUGGCCCACUAAGGCGACGAUCCAUAGCGGGUCUGAGAGGAUGAUCAGCCACACUGGGACUGAGACACGGCCCAGACGCCUACGGGAGGCAGCAGUAGGGAAUCUUGCGCAAUGGGCGAAAGCCUGACGCAGCCAUGCCGCGUGAAUGAUGAAGGUCUUAGGAUUGUAAAAUUCUUUCACCGGGGAAGAUAAUGACGGUACCCGGAGAAGAAGCCCCGGCUAACUUCGUGCCAGCCGCCGCCGUAAUAC